rnacentral:lncRNA from 1 species
UGGAGGGCCAUAUGAGGGCUGAAGCUCAGCCCCUUAGUGACACGGCUCCCUCUGCUUCUCUCACUUCUGCCCACAUCACCACUGCCACUUACUGAGCACCCUCUUGGUGCCAGGCACUUUACCCAUUAGCUCCUGGCCUGUUUUCAUUACAAACCCACGAGACAGGGAUUCAUUCUUGUCCUCAUGUCUGCCAGUAAAAAGAUGUGUCCACAUGCCCAAGGUCACGCCAGCACUCUGACCUUACCACAGUUGCACAUCAGCUAUUAGCCCACUUGACACUCCCGCAGCAGCCGGAGAGAGUGGGGUGGGGUAGUGGUUAUCACUGAGACCCAGGCAGCUUGUCUCUUGAGAACCUUGAGGCUAUAAGCCUGGAGUAUGGUCUGGGACAGAUACAGUAACACCUCCAGAAGUGACAUGGAGAGUGAUAGGGCACGAGGAAUGGACUCCCUAGAGGAAAGCCUCAGGUGUGGUCAUAGAGAGAGCCUAGAAAGACGGCUUGGCUGCAUCACAAGCAGGAGGAAGACUAUAGGGUUUCAGAGAGAGGCUAGCACAUAGACCUACCCUGGCAAGGGUCUUGUGGCUUCCCUGGUCCAAGCCUGAGACUGAGGGCAAGGGCCAUUAUCCAGGACAGCCACUGUGGUUUGUUGGGUGCCAUCUGCAGUAAAUAACAUCCCAACUGCCUGGCAGCUCUUACUUCUGUACCAGCAUGGCGUCUGCCCUGGCCAGCUUCCACCCAUGGACCUUGGCUUCCAGUCUCACCCGGUGUCCAGUGAAGCCCUCCCCCAGCCAGCCCCCUGCGAAGCAAUGAGACAUCUUGUUAGAAAUCCACCAAGGCCUCUUGCCCUGCCCACUGUGGCUAUUAAAUAGCCAAGAUUGGCCAAGUUAUGGAUAAGGUCAUUGCUGAGAAAGCAGAGUUUGUCACAGCUGCCACCUCUGUUCUGGGCUUAAAUCCAGCCCACCUCUCCUCUGCCUGAGAGCCAGCCUUAGGAAGGCAGCUGUCUCCUGCCCACCCUGGGCCCCACCCUAGGGAGGAGAUGGGGAAGGAGAGGAGACAUCCUAUUUGUACAGUUAGGAAGGCGUGCAAGAUGGAGGUAGGUGUUUGAGUUUGCAAGUGUAUUAACAGAGUUGUGAUAUGUAGGUCUUUGAAGAAAACCAUACCACACUAGUCACUUACCAGUCAACCCUCCCCAGCUGUCCCUCUGCUUACCGUUUGAGUAGUCUGAUCCCCUGCCACCAGAAGGCCUCCUUUGCUGACACACAGUGGCACAAAGGCGUAGGGUAUGGAGAUGGGGUGCUCCCGGGAACACCUGUGAGCCUCUCUGGCCUCUGUGGCCAGGGCUUCUGGCCUGGAAAGCAGGGCAGGAGGCAGGACCAUCAGGCUCCUUCAGAUGGGAGGGAGGGUCAGAAGCCUAGGGCAAAGCCCAGGGAGGCUGAGUGGCCUCUCCGAGGGCCUUGGGGACUUUCUAGAACUUUGCCUCAGUGGUUACAUUCAGGCUCUCUUAGAAUUGCCCCUGAGCUGGAACAGGACUGAAAUGGAGACCCUUUGGGACUGACCUGGGAGAUGGUUCCUUUAGGGUCUCAACACUGAAGGGCUCUAUCCAGGAAACCUAGAGAGUGGGCAAGUUAGGCUCACGAAUGGGCUGUGGUUCACAGACAGACAUUCCUGUGGACCAGAGCCAUGCCAUACCCCAGGGGUAUCAAAAUUCUCUUUGUGGGGCCCUGCCCCAGCCAAAAACUAAGCCAGCCUCACCUCUUGUGUCAGUGGACAUCUUUCCCCUUUCCCUGACCUGGGUACACCCCCGGCCUCCCUCCUGUGUCGCCGAUUCUGCUCACACAGAAUUGUAAAUGUUUAGUUGUGACCAUGACAUACUGUUUGGGCCAGUGUCCCUUUCCAAUGCGUACUAAUAUAUUAUGGUUAUUAUAUAUGAAUAUAUUUAAUGACAUGGAGAAAGUUGUGGAUUUUCUUUUUUUUUUAAGGUUUUUUUGUUGUUAGAGUUGUAAUGGGCCCAGACGGAACUUGUAACGUGGCCCUACGUGAUGGAGCUAAAUUCAUAUCAUUAAAUAAACUCUUGUAUACUGUU